AGAGUUUGAUCCUGGCUCAGGACGAACGCUGGCGGCGUGCCUAACACAUGCAAGUCGAGCGGGGAGAGAUUUUCGGAUUUCUCUUUAGCGGCGGACGGGUGAGUAACACGUGGGUAACCUGCCUCAAAGAGGGGGAUAGCCUUCCGAAAGGAAGAUUAAUACCGCAUAACAUCGAAGCACUGCAUGGUGCUUUGAUCAAAGGAGCAAUCCGCUUUGAGAUGGACCCGCGGCGCAUUAGCUAGUUGGUGAGGUAACGGCCCACCAAGGCGACGAUGCGUAGCCGACCUGAGAGGGUGAUCGGCCACAUUGGAACUGAGACACGGUCCAGACUCCUACG
rnacentral:rRNA from 1 species